GAUGAAGAACGUAGUGAAAUGCGAUAAGUAGUGUGAAUUGCAGAAUUCAGUGAAUCAUCGAAUCUUUGAACGCACAUUGCGCCCCUUGGUAUUCCAUGGGGCAUGCCUGUUCGAGCGUCAUUUGAACCCUCAAGCUCUGCUUGGUGUUGGGUGUUUGUCCCGCCAUUGCGCGUGGACUCGCCUUAAAGCAAUUGGCAGCCAUGUAAUCCGGCUUUGAGCGCAGCACAUUGCGUACUCUCUACUGGGACAUGGGCAUCCAGAAGCCUUAUUUUUUUUUACUCUUGACCUCGGAUCAGGUAGGGAUACCCGCUGAACUUAAGCAUAUCAAUAAGCGGAGGA
rnacentral:misc_RNA from 1 species